AAGCCAUAGGUGCUCCACAGUGCCAGCAUCAGCUCCCUUCAGAGUCGCUGAAAGAAAUUGUUCUUAUUCACCCAUUCUGCUGGGGGAAGUUUCACAUGCCUGGAGUGGACAUCCCCUAAAUCACUGACAGGUCUGAGAUCUGUCAGUUACCCUCAUCCUCAUUUAGUCCUACUGUGGAGAUGGUUUUACUGGGGGUGGCUGCUGCUCCUGCUACAGCUUCUUGGAGCCACAGAGUGGAAAACAUUAUGAGGAGAAGAAAUUAUGUAAUUCAUAUUUUUUUAUGGAAGAUCCUCCCUAAAGUGAGCUCAAUGACAGAUCCUUACUUGCCUGCAUCUAAUAGGUAAGAAGAUGAACAAUGAGGAAGAGUUGUUGAAUGAGCCUAAUAAAGAAAAUCAACUUAAACUGAUUGCUCUGAGCCCAUGGAAAAUUGGACAUUUCCAGAAGAAAUGUGUAAAAGGUUUUUGUUGAUUUAAAUGAGGAAAAUGUAUGACAAUUGUUCUCCCUAAGCCUAUCAAAGAUGAACAAAAUAAAUAGCAAAGAAAAGACAAA